AAGGACGGUAGCGUGGACUUGGAUAACACAUUAAAUCUUAGCCCGGCGUUUCUUUCACUUUGCUUCGGAAUUUAAUCUAGAAGAAAACACUCGGCUCGAAUUCUAACUUUUUCUUGUGUGUCCAAGCCAGCAGUCCUUUGACGUUUCUUCAUUGUUUCACUAUCAUAUAGAAAAACGUUAGGAAUGAUUUGGUUGCUGAUACUUGCCUUGCCUGAUCACCCUACUGAAACUUGACUCCAUCUUUAAGAUUUUUUUUUUGAAUAAAACGUUAAAUUAGGUUCAAAAAGAAAUGUGCUUUUUACAGCAGUAGUAGCUACUUUGUUUAUGACUCUUCUAACAAAGGGAAAAAAAGAUUAUGUCCCCACUGAUACAAUCCAUGCAUGGACUCCAUCUUUAAGAUUACUCAUUACACAGUUCUUUAUGUUCAAAAAGCGAUCACCAGCCUUGUUUCUUUCAUCUUUUAAUUCUUCCCCACCU
rnacentral:lncRNA from 1 species